GACGAACGCUGGCGGCGCGCCUAACACAUGCAAGUCGAACGAGAAAGAAGGAGCUUGCUUCUUCGAUCGAGUGGCGAACGGGUGAGUAACGCGUGAGGAACCUGCCUCAAAGAGGGGGACAACAGUUGGAAACGACUGCUAAUACCGCAUAAGCCCACGGGUCGGCAUCGACCAGAGGGAAAAGGAGCAAUCCGCUUUGAGAUGGCCUCGCGUCCGAUUAGCUAGUUGGUGAGGUAACGGCCCACCAAGGCGACGAUCGGUAGCCGGACUGAGAGGUUGAAAGGCCACAUUGGGACUGAGACACGGCCCAGACACCUACGGGAGGCAGCAGUGGGGAAUAUUGCACGAUGGGGGAAACCCUGAUGCAGCCACGCCGCGUGGAGGAAGAAGGUCUUCGGAUUGUAAACUCCUGUUGUUGAGGAAGAUAAUGACGGUACUCAACAAGGAAGUGACGGCUAACUACGUGCCAGCCGCCGCCGUAA
rnacentral:rRNA from 1 species